rnacentral:piRNA from 1 species
UCAAUUCUUGACUUCUGUGCACCCAUAGGCC